rnacentral:rRNA from 1 species
AUUGAACGCUGGCGGCAGGCUUAACACAUGCAAGUCGAGCGGGGUGAUGGUGCUUGCACUAUCACUUAGCGGCGGACGGGUGAGUAAUGCUUAGGAAUCUGCCUAUUAGUGGGGGACAACAUCUCGAAAGGGAUGCUAAUACCGCAUACGUCCUACGGGAGAAAGCAGGGGAUCACUUGUGACCUUGCGCUAAUAGAUGAGCCUAAGUCGGAUUAGCUAGUUGGUGGGGUAAAGGCCUACCAAGGCGACGAUCUGUAGCGGGUCUGAGAGGAUACUCCGCGACACUGGGACUGAGACACGGCCCAGAAUCCUGCGGGAGGCAGCAGUGGGGAAUAUUGGGCAAUGGGGGGAACCCUGAUCCAGCCAUGCCGCGUGUGUGAAGAAGGCCUUAUGGUUGUAAAGCACUUUAAGCGAGGAGGAGGCUCUUUUGGUUAAUACCCAAGAUGAGUGGACGUUACUCGCAGAAUAAGCACCGGCUAACUCUGUGCCAGCAGCCGCCGUAA